UCCUCUUGUCGGUUCCGUAUCUUUCUCUUCCUCUUCCUUAUCCCUCACUGAACUGAACCAGACGAAGCUCAGGCAUCCGCCCACGGCGAGACAUCUAACUAGGCUGGCCGUGCUCCCGUCCCUCCGGCCUCUAGCCCCAAUUCGUCCAUGGAUCUCGCCGCUCCGCCGUCCAACUCGGGGGUCACAGCUCUGGCCUCUACCUGGAUGAGCGCGACCACGCCUCAGUUCGUCCAACGCCGGCGUAGGGGACUAAAUUGCUGCUCCUCCGUUUGUACCGGCAAGCUUUCUCUCACGCAGGCAGCAAGCUGGUGACCAAAAUCGCCCUUGGCAGGCCGGAACUGGAGGCGGGGGCGGAACGCAUCAGCCGCUUCAAUCGACUCGAGGCGGAAGGCCGGACCUGGAUGCAUCACAGUAAUGGUUUGGAGAGUAAAUUUCAGCAAGAUGCAAGGGAAUGGUCGCUUCGUGCCUAACUCGACAACAAGGAGCGGAUGGCGAUGCCCUGCAGUUUGUGGUUCAAUUCACCUCUACAGGAGACAAAAAACAGGUGUCCAUGUGAUUUGUCGGAUGAGCCUGUGAAGAAAAGUAAGUACUUUAAAUUGCAUUGAAUUUUGAAUGAUAAAACUGAUAUUGUAUAAUGCUCAUACCACUAAUGUAUUGUACGGUUGGAAUCCUGUGAACAUUGUUUGGUCGUGUGGUGACAUCAUCAUGGUAUUAGCAAGUGAUGGUUGCAUCGAAGCAGUUACGAAUGGGUUGUACUGUAAUUGAUAUGGACCCAUUUGAUCUGUCAUAAACUCCAAAUGACCCUAUAAAAAUUGUAGAUAAAUGUUAGUAAAAUUAAAUUGUGUAUGUGAAAAAAGUGAGACAACUCUAUACCAUUGAGCCGCUUUGAGGUUGUAGUUGUACAGUAGGAUUCAUUUUCUUUUUCUUCUUUGAAGUUGCUUUCUCAAAGCCACCAACUGGUCGUGUUGAUCCAUUGGUAGUCUUCUCCUUGACCUUAAUACCUUUUGGGUUGCCAAGCCCCUGAUUAUGUUUUGAAAUUCUACUAGAGUCGAUGUUCAGUCCUGCCACAUUAAUGAUAAAUGUAAAUCUUAAUUUGGAGAAGUCCAGGA